AUAAACUUUACAGGGACCUUAACAAGUAAAAAGUAAUGAGAAAACUGAAAAUUUACAUAUUAUUUUCAUGUUUAUCCAGCUAAGUCUAUGAGUGGAAGCUAACAUUUAAAUUCAGGUAUAUGCUGGGGUGCCUGGGUGGCUUAGUUGGUUAAGGGUCUGACUCUUGAUUUCGUCUCAGGUCAUGAUCUCAUGGUUGGUGGGACUGAGCCGCACAUAGGGCUCUGCGCUGAGCAUGGAGCCUGCUUGGGAUUCUCUCUCUCUCUCUUUCUCUCUGCCCCUCCCUUGUGCAUGUUCUCUCUCUCUCUCUCUCUCUCUCUCUCUCUCUCUCUCUCUUUCUCUCUCUCUCAAAAUAAAUAAACAUUUUUAAAAAGUAAUAAAUUAUGUUACACUAACUCCUGAAAAUUUUAACAUAUAUGCAUAAGUUGUAUCCUUCUUAUGGUCAUAAUUCUCCACUUCUAGACAUUGCAUCUUCCUAUGAGAGACAAGAAAAGAAAAAAGACAAAGAUGCUAAGAACAAAAGAUGUGUGCCAGGACCGCAUGGUUUCCUCAAGCUUCAAGGCAAUAUGUGCAUGUGUGUGUAAGUGGAAAAGACAUAGAAGGAUGUCCACCUAGUGAAAUAUUCCCCACUUCCACUUCAAGCAGAGGAGAAGGGGAACUCCAAUGUAUUUUCUGUAUUUGGCCUCCAUGUUAUCGCAUUAAAAGACUUAUCUGGCUUAAAAGUGAUGAAAAAACAUUGCAUUAUACUAUUUUGCUUCUCAUAAUCAUUGCAUUUGGCCUUUACUGUAAUCAAGGCAAAUUCUGGAAAUACUCAAGGAUUCUUUUAGAAAUAUAAGCAUUCUUCAGUGCAACAAAAAUUACUCCAACUUGCCAAUCUCAUUUAAUAUUGUACCUAGUAAUAAUACUAUCUCAUAAUGUUUUGUACAUAGUUAAUAGGCUUCAUUUUCUCACACAAAGGGUAAAUUGUAAAAACUCAUUCUUUCUAAAACAAACCUGAUGUUUUAGAAACAUUGAUAUUUAGAAAAUGAUGUACUAUCUAAAUAAAUCAUGACAAAUAUUAUAGCUAUAGCUUUUU
rnacentral:lncRNA from 1 species